rnacentral:rRNA from 1 species
GACAGAGGGGGCAAGCGUUGUCCGGACUCACUGGGCGUAAAGGGCGUGUAGGCGGCCCGCUGCGUCAGCGCUGAAAGUGCCUCGCUUAACGAGGCAAGGUGUGCUGAUACGAGUGGGCUUGAGGCAGGCAGAGGCUGGUGGAAUUCCCGGUGGAGUGGUGAAAUACGUAGAUAUCGGGAGGAACGUCGGCGGCGAAAGCGGCCAGCCAGGCCUGUUCUGACGCUGAGGCGCGAAAGCGUGGGGAG